UUAGGCCCAGGGGACUUGCCACAAAUUCGGAUGGCAGAACCAUCAAGUCACAAUAUCCGGUGCUGGACAAUCACCCAUACUCAGAGGAAGGUCGGGCCCCACCAUAAUGCAUGUGAUGAGUCAUGCCAAACUGCACACAGAGAUACAGGUACACAGGCCAUAUGUGGUCCACUGGAUGUAAGAAAGUCCUGGCCAAAGGAAAACUGGAGUGGACUAUCCCAUCUUAUUACUAGAUCACGUGGGAAGUUGACUCUUAGGCAAAGGGGAGUGACUUCCAUACUGCAAGUCAGCUUGUGAAGCUGAUGGGAAGCUGUUAUAAAGGUAGCAGUGAACCCAGAAUGAAAGCUGGUUAAAGAACAGAAGCAAUAAAUGAGGUUGAACUUAGGAGAUGAGUGAAUGGGUUUGACACAGUAAGUCAAUGAGAUAGAAAAAAACAACAACAACAACACAAUAUGCUAUUGCACAUAGGACCAUGAGGCUCAACCAGACAAAAGAAUGCUAACUGGUCAGACAGACCAGUUAGCUAACUGGUCAGACAGACAUCUUUGCCUUUCAAGUUAGGUGAGGAGGAUAGAGAUCAGAGAAGUUAAGUAACUUGCCAAAUGUCACACAAUGAACAAGAGUCGCUAUCUGGACCUAAAUCCACAUCUUUUCUAACAUCGACACCCAUGCUGUUGCAUGACAUUGCACUAAGGAACUACCCAACAAUGCCUGACAUCUACCAUGCUGGAAGCAAAGGUACAAGUCCGGAGGAGUCUGAUGUCAAUGCCAGGGAAAGUCCUCUACUGGCAAGUAUGUGACACUGGGAAGACAUCUGCCAACAUACAUUCCCAGCGCCUGAGGCCCAUGUCUUGACAUACUGAGCCAGUGACAGGAGGACACCAAUGAUGACGCAACGUCAGAUAACCAAUGGGAAUGAGAGAUGACUGGUAAAUCAAGUAAGAAGGCACUGGCAGAGGCAGCAAAGAGGCGUGGUGCUUGCGACAAGGCUGUAGCUUGAAAAGAAAAGAGGUCGUACCUUCACAGCCACGUUCUAUCUGUCCACUCCGAUGGAGGGCAUCGUUGAUGAGGUCUGGCAGACGCCCAUUCAAAUCCACCGAGGCCAGACAUCCCUGAAAGCCAUCCCGGGAAGCCACCAAUUUUGGAAGGUUGCUGUACAUGCCUUGGGCCAGACCCGCCAUGUAGAGGUCACCUGCAAAAGAAAGGCUUGAGCUGAGAUACCUGGUAUAAACUAUGUGAAGUGUUCUACUCACCCCUUGACUAGCUCAACUGCAAUGAAGUCAUUGCCAUCACCACUGUUGAAGAGGAUGAAGCCAUCAGCUGAGGUGGUCUUGAACUGAAAGAAGAGGUGCAUGGAGGUGUACGCCUGGAGGGUGGCCAGGCUCAGGUAGCUGCUCUUGGUCUUGAAGGUGACAGGGUCAGCAAUGAUGUUCCUCAGUCCAAAACGUGCCUUCAGCUCACAGUAAUCAAUGUCACCAUUUUUGCACAAGUCAAUGUAGAGCAGGCCAUUGAACAUGAGGCUCUGCAAGUGCCCAAUGAAACUGGAGGGGACAACGGAGAUGUAGCGUUUCUCAGUCAUGAUUCCAGUUUCGAUAUUGUGGAAUUCCAAGCGGAGCUUUUGCUGGAACACCUUUGAAAGAGUCAUUCUUGGUAAACAAGGUUUGUUGAAGGAAUAAGAAGAAAACCCAGAGCUGCUGGAGGCCUCGUGAUAAGGAGAGAGAUUGGGCCUGCCUAAACAGACAGCCAACCCGGAAGAUAACCACAACAUGGACAGAAAGUUUCUCUAGAGUGAUGCCAUGUGAAGGUCUGGAUUCAGUAGUCACAGCCAGACUUUUAACUAUAUGGCAAUAGAUUCCCUUUUGUGCUUCAAGCAUUUGAGUUGGGUGUCUGACACUUACAAUUAAAAGAUCUCCAGCUGAUACAAAUAAACUAGUAGACCUUUCAUUACAUGGCUUAUCUAGAAGCAGUAAGUGAAUAGGGCAGGAGUAAUGAAAGGGGUUUGAAAUAAAUACAAAAGAGAAUGGAAAUCUUAAUAACAAAGUCAAGAAAAACAGCAUUAAUAUGGCUAGAGUAGAUGGUGACUCCCUCAACAUUUAUAUAGACAAAUCAUUAAAAUUUAACAAACCAUGCCCUAAUGCCCCAGUGGUGAAGGAAGGGCAGGGAAAAUCCCUCCUCCUGCCCUAUCUUGUUACCUCCCACACUGAAGAAACUUCACUACAAAGACACUCCUAGCAUCUCUUUACUAACUCUGUUACAGCUUUCCAGAGGAAAAGGAGUGACAUAAUCAGGAAGAUUAAAGAAAAUCUACCAAGAAACUGUAUUUCCAUAGUUCACCCCCUGGCACUUCCUGUAUCUCCCUAGGGGAACAAGCUGUCUUCGAGAAAUACUCAGUGUAGGGGCACUUGGGUGGCUCAGUCGGUUGAGCGUCUGACUUCAGC